rnacentral:lncRNA from 1 species
AGCGAAAAUAUCACCAGUAGAGAGAAAAGUUACAGGCAAAAACAUCACAAGUAGAGAGAAACGUUACAGGCAAGAGACAAUAAUGAAUGAGAAAUGAUAAGAACAAAAUCUAACAGUUUAAGGAAUUCGUUGUCUCAUCAAACACCAAACAAAACUAACUACAAUCUUGACUCGCACUAGCCUUUGCAUAGUAUUAAGACACCAACCAAUAUUAUUCAGAAUCGCACAAAUUAAAAACAAGCAAGCAUAUAACAUAAAAUACCUUACACAGACAAGCUAUUCAUCGUCAGCCCGAAACGACAAUGGUAGAGAUGGACUGCCACUCCUGAAGGUGAUCCGUGGUAUCCUUCAAUGGAACUCCUCUUAGUCUGCACCACCUUGUACAUUUUCAAUAAUUGGAAGUUUAAACCCAUGAUUAGUAGCCUCCCAUAUCGAUUCAAUGAAUCCGUUCUAUUUUGAAAUGUUCUCCUCCACCUGGUGUGCGCCCUUUAAUAAACUCCAUAGACAUAUUGAAGAUUACCAGGUGACGGAGGAUAGUAAGGUCUUCAAACCCUUGAGGAAGCAUGUUCAAUUUUGGGCAAUCACCGACGGAUGGGUGAGAAAGGCAGAGGAAUGAUCUCAUCUUCAUAUCGCUCCAAUUCUCCCAGUUUUUAACUCACAAACAAUAAAAGUUUUGAGUAAGGGAAAUGAACUCGAACCCAUAGUCUAAAAAAACGGUCUGCCACGCGCCUUGGACCAAAACACCGCCUGUCCAGACCCAGACGGCCCAACAUGGGCGGAUAUACCUGGGCGAGUGCCUAGGAGGGCUAGGCAAGCGCCCAAGCGGGCUAGGCGGGUGCCUAGGGUGGCGCCCACGGAUAUGGGUUUUUUUUUUUCUUGUGAUACCCAAAGGAAAAAAAAGAAGGUAAUUUUGACCCAGAAAAAGGUUUAAAUAGGUUAUGGAGAUUAUUUUCAACCCUUAAAAUUGAAAGAACAAUUCCAUAAACCCUUAAUGUCUUAGUUAUACAUAUUUCUGAGAAUCAAAAGUAUUUUUUUAUGGUUUGAAGAAGCUUCUUAAACCUUUUCACUUAUUAUGUCAUAUGGAGAGUUGGAGACUAUUAAUAAUACAUAUCCUAUUAAACUUUUAAAUUUUGUAUGGUUUGAAUUUUGAUAUUUUGAACAAGUU